rnacentral:rRNA from 1 species
UAAGACAGAGGUCCCGAGCGUUAGGCGGAAUCACUGGGCUUAAAGCGUGUGUAGGCGGAUCGUUAAGUGCCUUGUGAAAUCCCACGGCUUAACCGUGGAACUGCUUGGCAUACUGGCGGUCUUGAGCCACUUAGGGGCAACCGGAACAAAUGGUGGAGCGGUGGAAUGCGCAGAUAUCA